rnacentral:rRNA from 1 species
GACGAACGCUGGCGGCGUGCUUAACACAUGCAAGUCGAACGGACAGGCGCUGCGUUUGUGGGGUGCUCGUGUGGCGAACGCGGGAGUGACACGUGUGUAACCUGUCCUUGUCUGUGUGAUAUCUUUACGGAACUGGGGCUAUUACAGGGUAGGAUCUCCUGCUGCAUGUUGGGGGUUGGUGAGAUUCGGCGGUUGGGGAUGGACUCGCGGCUUAUCAGCUUGUUGGUGUGGUAGUUGCUUACCAAGUCUUUGACGGGUAGCCGGCCUGAGAGGGUGACCGGCCACAUUGGGACUGAGAUACGGACCAGACUCCUACGGGAGGCAGCAGUGGGGAAUAUUGCAGAAUGGGCGGAAGCCUGAUGCAGCAACGCCGCGUGCGGGAUAACGGCUUUCGGGUUGUAAACCGCUUUCGCAGGUGACGAAGCGUGAGUGACGGUAAUGGGUAAAGAAGCAACGGCUAACUACGUG